rnacentral:rRNA from 1 species
UGAGGAAUCUUGCGCAAUGGGCGAAAGCCUGACGCAGCAACGCCGCGUGGAGGAUGAAGGUCUUCGGAUCGUAAACUCCUGUCAGAUGGGGCGAAGGUCCACUGCCUAAUACGCAGUGGUCUUGACGGUACCAUCAGAGGAAGCCACGGCUAACUCUGUGCCAGCAGCCGCGGUAAUACAGAGGUGGCGAGCGUUAUUCGGAAUUAUUGGGCGUAAAGGGCGCGUAGGCGGCCAGAUAAGUCCCGGGUGAAAUCCCUCGGCUCAACCGAGGAACUGCCUUGGAAACUGUCUGGCUUUUCGAGGCCGGGAGAGGGUAGUGGAAUUCCCAGUGUAGCGGUGAAAUGCGUAGAUACUGGGAGGAACACCGGUGGCGAAGGCGGCUACCUGGACCGGUUCUGACGCUGAUGCGCGAAAGCGUGGGGAGCAAACAGGAUUAGAUACCACGUAGUCCCUGAGCGGGCUGGCAAGGCGCAU